rnacentral:lncRNA from 1 species
AGACGCCAGCCUAGGGAGGGGUGAGGAGGAGGCUGCACUGGCGCUUGGGUCGCCGCACCGCCCCGCAGCCUCGCGCUCUCCGCAGUGACAGCAACCGCAACCGCAGCAGCACCCAGCUCCAUCCUCACCAGCCUGGCCGAGCCACAGCCCGGCAAUUCGGGCUGAGGGCGACAAGCAGAAGGUGUGCAGGUGCCCCCGAGCCCCCCACUCCAUUGACAGAAGCUCAAGAAACCGGGAGUGGGCUAGCGGCGGAAUUGCACGGAGGGGGCUGAGAAAAAGAGGAGUGGAGACCAUGGAAGCGAUUCAGGCAGGGAUGUGGCUUCUCUUAGCUGAAUAAUCCGUUAAAGGAAUAAUAAUUUUUAAAAAGGACC